rnacentral:snRNA from 1 species
AUCGCUUCUCGGCCUUUUGGCUAAGAUCAAGUGUAGGAAGUGUGUGUUUCGGUAGUAAAAGUUUUUAUUUGGAGGAACAUAUCUUCAAUUAUAUUUUAAUCCUUGAAAGAUGUUUCCUGGAUCUACAUUUCUAAGGUAAUAGUU